rnacentral:rRNA from 1 species
GACGAACGCUGGCGGCGUGCUUAACACAUGCAAGUCGAGCGGUAAGGCCUCUUCUGGGGUACACGAGCGGCUAACGGGUGAGUAACACGUGGGUGACCUGCCCUCACCUCUCGGAUAAGCCUGGGAAACUGGGUCUAAUACCUGAUAUGACCUUUCCUCGCCUGGGGUUUGGUGGAAAGUUUUUUCGGCUGGGGAUGGGUCCGCGGCCUAUCAGUUUGUUGGUGGGGUGAUGGCCUACCAAGGCGACGACUGGUAGCCGGCCUGGGAGGGCGACCGGCCAGAGUGGGACUGAGGCACGGGCCAGACUCGUGCGGGAGGAGGGGGGGGGGAAGAUUGAGGAAUGGGCGGAAGACUGAGGCAGCGACGGCGCGUGGGGGAUGACGGCGUUCGGGUUGUAGACCUCUUUCGACCCCGACGGAUUUGGACGGUAGGGGUAGAAGAAGCACCGGCCAACUACGUG